AAGGUUGGUUGAGCAGACCUCGUUCUUUGUGGAGGUCAUGUUAUAAGCUGUUCACGAUUAUAGCAUAACUUAAAAGAGGAUUAUCGUAUUAAAUCCUCGACUGCUUGGCAUGUUGCACGUAUGGUUGUUUUUCUAAACUAUUGUUCUGUAAGAAAAUCCUCUGUAUGUAUAUAUAUAUAUCACUCAGGUGAAAUUUGUACUAAUACCUGUAAAAACUUUAUAGAUGUGGUGUAUAAAUAAUAACAAAUAGGCGUUUGUUAGAAUGGUGAGAGGAAUAUGGCUUCUUGUUGUUAUGCUGUUUCUGCCUUGCCUUUUGAGUGUGUUAAAGAAAUUGGAAUGCAAUUCCUUGGUGGAAUAGGCCAUAAAAUUGUGUUCACUAAUUGAUUUUCCCGUACUUGUCAACUCAAGUAUAAUUGAUGGGCAGUUGUAAUUGAGUCUCUUAGAUGGAACUAUGAAAUUUAAAUGUUGUCCAGUGUUUGAUUUCGCAUGUUACCAACGGAAUUUGUGCUUGAGGUGCGUGUAACUUUAUAUAAUGGUAUUAAGUAGGUUCAUGGCCUCAGGACUAAUCUGACAUGAUAUGGCGAUUAGAUGAUUUUCUCUUUUGGCUUUUUUGAAAGGAAACUGCCAACUUGUAAUAUUAUAAUUAGAUUUCGCUGCUGACUUCUGUGGUUGAGUAAAUGUUGUCUCCAAAUUGAGGUUUUCUUACUUCAUUUUGAAGUAGUUAUAUAAGUAUAUUUAGGAGAGAUGACUGGAUGGAAUGAAAAAUCGCAGAGGUAGAAUUGAAACUUGGUUUUGAGAUUCAAUUUUUAAUGGAAUCGAAUGCCCCUCCAAAGCCCCACAUCUUGUCUUCGAAAUUGAAAAAAAAUAGAUAGAUUCAUUGUACCAUGGUGUCAUACUGCUUUUUCUGGCUUGUUUGUUGUCAAGUCACUUAUUUUUAAUCAAAUCGUCUAACUGGUUCAGCCGGUGAUGUGUCUGGUUUAUCAGGUGUGGCUUAUAAAUGUGUUUUGUCAAGCCACUUAUUUUUAAUCAAAUCAUCUAACUGGUUCAGCCGGUGAUGUGUCUGGUUUAUCAGGUGUGGUUUAUAAAUGUGCUUUAUAAGCUCAAUAAGCCGAUAGAUGUGUCAUGAACAAGGGUUUGGUUUCAUGGGUUGAGAAGUUUAUGUGAGUUUGCUCACGGUUGUCUGGUUACGACAUGCAUAUAGGAGUUUGUUGUCAAUUAUGUAUAGAUAGACCUUUUACCCCUAAUCUAAUGUCUCUUAUAAGGUCCUUAUUUCAGAGUUAAGUUUUUGUGACUCCUUGUGAUUGAACAAAGGAAUUGGAUUUAUUCUCUUUUGUGGAUGUUCCCUUUUCAUUUGGUCAUUCUUUGGCCAUCUUAGACCUGUGGUCUGAAAUUGUUUCUGGUCAAUUAAAGCUCCAGAGGAAAAAAGAGAAGGACAUAACAGAACAAGCCAAAGAGAAGAAACGGGAAAGAAAGGAAAGAAAGAAAGAAAGGAAAGAAAAAGAGAAGCUAAAGCCCCUUGAACUAUCUGCAAAUGUCAAAAAGAUUGCUGAUGAUGUGAUUGGAAAUAGUUUUCCAAAGCAACGAGAAGAAGAAGCCGAACAGGUGAAGAGUGAUCUUACUGUAGAGCAUGAGCAACCCAUCUCAUCUCAGAACCUUCUUUAUUUGUCCGACAGUACACAGAACAGCAACAAGCGAAAAAGGCAUGCUUCACCUUCUACUGAAAGCCACAACAAUGGUUUGUCCUCCCAACUUCUGUUUUCUAGGCUCGGUGGUCUUUGUUUGUGCUUUUCCUUUGUUUAUGUGCUGACAUUUCAUUUUAAUGAUGGCAGGAAAAGUCAUUCGAAUCGGUUUUCCUUCAAAAAGCACAAAGGAGCUGAAGCUUCUUCCAAUGAGGAAGGUGUAUGUUCUACAUCUGGGAGGACAGCUUAUCAUCCUGCUCAGGAAAUUCCCCAAGCACAACAACAAUGUCGAGACAUUAAUACAAGGACAAAUAACAGAGCUCCUGCCCAGGAAAUUCCCCGAGCACAACAACAAUGUCGAGACACUAAUACGAAGACAAAUAUCAGAGCUCCUGCUCGGGAAAUUCCCCGAGCACAACAACAAUGUCGAGACACUAAUACAAGGACAAAUAUCAGAGCUGUUGGGGUUGCUUCUGGACCAAAUAAAGUAUCGCCCACUUGUUCCAAAAUUGAUAGUGCAUCUCCUCUGGUUGCUGCUGGAAAUGUAUCUGCCUCUAGUGGUAAUAAGGCCCGCAGUAUAGAAAUGUUAUAUAAAUCAUUGGUUGAGGAUUGGCUUCCACCUUCACUUUCACUUGAUGAGAAUGAUACUGGUGAGCUAGAAUGGCUUCUUGGAACUGAGCAGCGAAAAGGCAGUAGGGUUAAAAGAAAUGAAACUGAAGAAGGUGUUUUAUGCCAUGUGAGUUCAACAUUGUGGCCAAGGGCCAAAUACCUACCCAGUGCUGAUAUUCAUGCCCUACCAUAUACAAUUCCAUUUUGAGGUUAAUAGCAAUUCUGACUGGCAAUGUAGCAAAAGUAAAACAGACAGAGACAUCUUGUGCUGUGUUAAAUGGUGUGGGCCAGCGGAAGCACCAUUUCAGAUGGAAAUGCUAAGGUACUGCAGUUGCAGUGCUGUGGCUCAGAAUUUUUUUGACGGCACCUUUUUUUGUUGAGGAAUUUUUGUAUAGCGGUUAGCAUUGAAUUUUUUUGCGUUCUCAAUGGUGUUAAGGUGCUGUUUAUAGAAGCCAGAGCUGUAACAUGUAUGUUCCCGUUACGAGGGCAGAAAUAAAUGAAAUCUUUUUGUCCCUUCCAUUAAGAAGUUUCUCUACGUAUGUUGUGGUGGUAGGAGUGUUCUUUCUUAGUGGAAGUGCUGACUAUCUAUUGUUGCGUGUGAAUUCUUUUGGACUUUUGUUAUUUCUUUCUUCCAAACUUUAAGCAUGUGCCGUGUUCUGUCUUGUUCUUUGGGGGAGAAAUUUUUGAAAUUACUCGAGCAAAGAAAAGUUUUGUUGAGUGUAAUUAGUUGCUCGUUUAAUUUACGGGAAGAAUACAGUUGAUUUUUAGAAGAAAGAAAUUUUCUCACUGCUAAAUGAUAGAUAUCCAGACAUGUUAAACGUAGGGAAAAAGUUGCUGUACAUUGUUUUCUUUUCUUGCGAAAAGGAAGUAUUCUUCAUGCCAAUCAGAAGAUUCAAUGCGUGAUUGCCAUUAGUUUUUUCCUUAAUCAGUUGUGCUCUUCUUUCAAGUAAUCUUUCAAGGUGAAGUGCUGUUUUUGUCCAAUGCUCUCUACUAAUGCGGUAUCAACGCCAGACUUAAAAGAUGGUUACAUUGCAUUUGCCAUCUAGAUCCAAAAGCAAGUAAUCUAACCCUGUAAAAUAGUCAUCUCCAUCCACUUCCUUCUCUGUCUCUUUCAAAUUUGUAGUAUAGGCAGUAAUCAAUUCUUAUCACUUUCCCCUGCUAAUAAGUGUAAUAUCUGAGCAUGUCAAAUUAAAGGAAACGAAAACCUUUAUGUUAGCUCAAACUCCAUUAAUGACAAAUAAUAAUAAUAAUAAAGAAGAGAAGUUUAGUCUAUUUACCUGGUUUGCAUUUGGACGUUUUUGAGCAGAAUGGUUGAUGCAGAGGGUUGCAGCCAAAACCAUUCUAUGCAUUUGAUCAAUUCUUCGAUGUUCCCUCUAUCUAAUAAUGGUUUUGCCUGCAGUAAGUGUGCUCCAAAGUCAUUCUUGCGUAAAUCAUAUGUUGACAUUUUACACUUCUUGUAUGAAAAAGGGUUACAGCACUUACCCACAUGACCAAGCUCUCUUGUCCCUUGGAUGCCUCGUGAUAAAUUGGUUUCCUUCCAGAUAAUAGCUCAAGAAGAACAACACCAAAGGAGUAUAUAUCACUUCUGUCACUCACCCUUCCAUGCAUAAAAUACUCUGGAGCUAUGUACCCAAAUGUUCCUACCACUUCAUCAAUGGAUGUCUGAGGUCCCCAUAUGGCAAAUCCAAAGUCAGAUAACUGCCCACAUAAAUACACAUCCAUCAUUUAAUAAAACAUUAGAUAUAAAGUCAAAUUUAAACCAAUGUAUGUAUAUAAAACAAGUGUAUGUACAUGUGGGCAAGAAUCUUGAGAAAGAAGAAUGUUGGAAGAUUUGAUAUCUCUAUGAAUAACAGGCACAGAGUAUUGAUUGUGCAAAUAGUUUAGAGCCUCUGCAAUAGCUACACCCACUUUGAAUCGCGUCUCCCAUGGCAAUACACUUCCACCUGUUACCAAAUUCAACCUCCAGUGUCAACUUCCGCAGCUUGCAAUAGAAUUCUCUACUGGGUACGAUUCAAAUUUUAUAAUGUAAUUGAAGAAAAAGAUUACCGUGGAGGUUUUCCUCCAAGCUCCCAGUGGGAAAGAAGUCGUAGACGGAGAUAAGGAGUCCAUUUUCACAGCAUACACCCAAAAGAGGCAAAAUGUUUUGAUGUUUAAGUGAAGAGAGAAUGUCAACUUCCAAAGCGAAAUCAUUGACAGCUUGCUUGUAUGAUUUCAGAAUCUUCACGGCCAAUUCUCUGCCGCCGGGCAGACACCCUUUGUACACCUUACUACACCCUCCUUCCGCAAUCAAUCUCAAAUAAUAUCACCUGAGGAGAAAUUACAAGUCGUUUGCUUAAGUUCUCUAUAGCUGAAUUGCCUUCAACCGUUGGGGAUCAAUUUGAAAGACAGCUACUUUUCUCUGGGUUGCCAACUUCCUGAUGUUGUUGGGCUAUUGUUAUCUUCAUCAGAAGGUAAAAUAUCACUUUGGACUGAACUUCUCUUGCCAUACAAGGCAAAGCAAUUUUGAGUUCUUGUUGUUGUUGAGUUGACCGACUUGGCAGGUUCAUUACCCACUCAACCACUAACAUCUCCCUACUUUCAUCAGAAUCAUUAAGUAGUCUGUUCCUGAGGAGAUGCCAACAUGGGGUUGCUGGUGAAGAACAGGAACUUGAAUAAAGAUCACGAUUUCUAGUGCUCUCAUCUUUUGAUUCUUCCUCUGAGCUAACAUCGUAUUCCUCUGAGUUCUGGUUGAUGAUAGUUACUUUUUUAUCAGGACGCGAGGCAGAUUAGACACCCAUUUAUUAAUUGUAGAAAUUUUGGUUUCUUCAAUACAUGGAGAAGUGGUUCCAAGAAGUAAAGGCCAACGAAGAGAUGAUUCUUCAACUGCUUGACAUGUUGCAAAUAUGGUUGUUUUUCAAAACUAUGGUUCUGUAAGAAAAUCCUCUUUAUGAUUCAUAUCACGCAGGUGAAAUUUGUACUAGUACCUGCAAAAACUUUAAAGAUGUUGUGUAUGAAUAAUAUCAAAUAGGCGUUUGUGAAGGGAAUGUAGUUUCUUGUCAGUAUUAAUUUGGGUAUUGUUUCUGCUUUGCCUUUUGAGUGCUAAGGAAAUUGGAACACAGUUCCUUGGUGGAAUAGGCCAUAAAACUGUGUUCACUAACUGAUUUUCCUGCACCUGUGAACUCAAGCGUAAAUGAUAAGCAGUUGUAAGCUUAGUCUCUUUAGAUAAAGCAACUAUGAAAAUUUAAAUGUCGUUCAGUGUUUGAUUUUGCAGAGUCUUGUGAAAAAAUUGACUGAGAAGUUGAGAAAGUUUAUAAAAAUAGAGAGCAAAGUACAAGGAAUAAAAAAGAAAAAGUUGCUGAAAUGAUUUUUGAUUGAUAUUUUUUAGCAUACAUCAACUCCUUAAAUGGAAAAUAAAUUUGAAGUAGUCAACAUAAAUAUUGAAUCAGAUUUAUUCAUUACACAUGUUCCAAACAACAGAUUUCCAAUGUUGAUUUAAUGUAAAUCUGCAUAUUUUCAACAGCUGGUAUUAAUUUUCUGCAUAUUUUCAACUUGUGUAGUUUGCUGCAUAUUUCCAACACCUUGUGUUAAUUUUUCUGGAGAUUUGUAUCGGUCUUUUAUUUAAAAAAAGACUCAUAAGUCAACACUCAUUCUUGAGUUUUUCUUUGAACACAUAUAGUUUUCACCUCAGAUCUUCAAAUUUGCCUCUUGGAAGUGGCUGUUUGAGGCUAUACAAAGUCUUCUUCAACUUGUAUACCAUAUCCGCAUUUCCUUUAAAGCCUCCAAUUUAGUUUUGCUGCUAAAGUCACCAACAAUUUGAUGGUGUCAUGCCUUAUUACAGGUGCAAAGGUAUCAUCAUAGUCCACUUCUGAAAAUUGUGCAUAACCCUUCACCCCCAACCUUGCUUUGAAUGAGAAAAUGGAACCAUGAGAGUUGAAUUAGUCCUAUAUACCCAUUUGACUCCAAUAACAUGCUCAUUUUCAGGCCUUGGUACAAGCUGCCAAGUGUCACUUUCAUUGAUUAUGUUAAUCUCGUUCUCCAUAGUAAGCUGCCACUUUUUAUACAUCAUAAGCGCUUCAUAGUUUAUAAGUUCAAUGAUGAUUAAGUUGCACAUUCCAUAAUCCUCUGCCAAUAACUUAGUCUUUGUUGUUCGUGUGUUUGUAGCUGGAUCAUCAAAUUCUGCAAAAUCAAUUUAAAUAUUUUCAGCAACACUUGAGGAACUUGAAGCUACAAUAGUGCAUCUUGUAUGAGUUUUUUUACUUCAGCUUGUUUCUUAUCCCAAUUCAAGAAUAUUAAUUCAUCAACAAGCACAUCUUCAUUGAGAAAAACUUUUCUUGCCACCGCAUUGUAAACUCUAUAACCCUUGGUCUGAGCUUUACAAUCAGCUAGCUUAAGUAUAUUAGUAACCAUUCUACUCUUUUGCAUAAACUUUAAAGAGUCAACAUUGUAAUGACCAAAUCUUUUGUGCUACAACCAUGUUAAAUCAUUCUUAGCAACAAAAGAAUGUUGGUUUGUAUAUUUUAAACUAAACACAUAGUUACUCAUUUUUCUUGAUAUAUACUACUAACACAUUUGCAUGAUCAUAAAUAAAGCAGUAAUCAUUUUCGAACAAAAUGGAAUAGCUCUUGUUUUGAAUUUUAGCAAUACUCAACAAAUUUUGCUCUAAAGUAAGAAUAAAGAGCACAUCAAUUAUGAGUUUGGUACCUUGCUUAGUUUGAAUCAGUAUUGAGCCUUUUUUUUUAGCUUUUAUGACUGUUCCAUUGAUAAGUUUCACUUUAAUUCUAUAAUUAACAUCCAAAUUGCUGAACAACAUAUGAUCCUUAGCCAUACGACUUGUGUAUCCACUAUUCACAUACCACAAAUUAUUUCUUCGCACACAAAAUGCCUCAGUCAUCAUGAAAAGAUGACUUUCCCACUACACAUGUUUCUCAGCAAAAUAGAUUUGGUGUUGUUGAAGUAGUUGUUGUUGCUUUUUAGUCUCAUUCUUUUAUUGUGAUGCUAGAUUUUUUUUUUCCAGCACAUCUUCUCUGAAUGACUACAGUUUUUGCAAAUCUUACAUUGUACAUGACAACAUUUGCUCUUAUAAUGGUUGGAUUUACCACAACUUCCACAAGGAAGAUAUUUUCCUUUUUCUUGAUGAAUCUUUUGAAUUUUGUGGUUACCUCCUUUUAUUUGCUGAGGAUUGAGCUUCAUCUUUUGAAGUUAAGGUCCUAAACUUGUACAUCUGUCUUGCUUGAAAAGUAUUUUCAGUGACCUCGUCAUUUCUGAUUGAAACAAUUAACUCUUGAGCCUAUAGUUUAUUGAGAAGUUCAGCAACAAUAAGUUUCUCAAGAUCACAUGUUCCUUCGCUUUGAUUCAAACUUCUAGGGGAGGCUAAUCAUCAUUUCUACAAUCAUUCUAUGAUAUUUGAAGUCUCUUCCAAGCAAUCUCAUUUGAGUAACAAGAUUCAUAACUCUUGUAAAAUACUCUUUGAUACUUUUUCUAUCCUACAUUCUUAACAGCUCAAACUCUUUUUUUAGAGUCAACAAUUUCACACCUCUCACUUUAGCAUUUCAUGCAUAUUCUUCUUUCAAAUAGGCCCAAACUUUCUUGACUGUUUUGUAGGUCACCAGUCUUGUGAAUAUGUCUUCAAACACUGCAGAAUGAAGAAUUGAAAGAGCUUUAAAAUUCCUCACGGACCCUUCUGCGUCUUGCCUAAUUUGUGGUAAUGUGGGAUUUCCGGGCAAUGAAACUUUUACAUAUUCAUCCUCCAUAACACCCCACAGAUCAUAGGCAAGAAGAUAAGUUUUCGUUCUCACUGCUCAAUAAUCAUAAUUCUCCCCCCUAAAUACUGGUAAAGCUGAUAAAUUGAUUUGAAGACUUUUUUUUUUAAAGGAGGAACACAAUCCCUUAAAAAAACUGCUCUGAUACUACUGUUGAGUUUUAUAAAAAAAUUAAGUUGAAGAAGUUUAGAAAAAUAGAGAGCAAAAUACAAAUAAAAAAAAAAAGAAAAGAAAAAGUUGCCAGAAUAAUUUUUUGUUGGUUUUUUUAGCAUAUAUCAGAUUCUCAAAUAGAAAAUAAAUUCAAAGUAGUCAGCAUAAACAUUAAAUCAGAUUCCCAAUGAUUUAAUUAUACAUGUUCCACAAAUUUUCGAUUUGUGUUAAUUUGUUGUACAUUUCCAACAACUCAUCUUAAUUUUUCUGGAGAUUUGCAUUAGUUUUUAUUAAAAAGAAAAACUCAUUAGUCAACAGAUUUCACAUGAUACCAACAGAAUUGGUGCUUGAGGUGCAUGUAACUUUAUUGAAUGUUAGUAAGAGGUUUCAUGGGCUUAGAACUAAUCUGACAUGAUAUGACAAUUAGAUGAUUGUUUCUUUUGGCUCUUUUGAAAGGAAACUGUGAACUUGUAAUAUUAUAAUUACAUUUCUGUACUGAAUUCAGUGGUGAAGUAAACAUUAUCUCCAAGUUGAGCUUUCCAUUGGAAACUUGGGUUGAGAUUCCAUUUUUUACUGAAUCGAAUGCCCUCCAGAGCCCCACAUCUGUCUUCGAAAUUGAGAAAUUUUGGUAAAAUGAUCCGUUGUACCAUGGUGUCGUGCUGCCUUCUCUGACUUGUUUUUUUGUCAAGCCACUUAUCUUUAAUCAAACAAUAUCUGGUUCAGCCAGUGAUAUGUCUGGUUUAUCAGGUGUGGCUUAUAAACUGUGCUUUGCAAGCUCUAUAAGCCGGUAGAUGUGUCAUUAAUAGGGGUUUGGUUUCAUGGGUAGAGAAGUUUUGUGAGUUUUCUCUGGGUUGUCUGGUUAUGACAUGCAUAUAGGAGUUCCUGCAAAUUGACCAUGUAUAGAGACAUUUUACCCCUAAUCCUUAUGUCCCUUAUAAUAAGGUCCUUAUUUCAGAUUUAAGUUUUUAUGAUUCCUUGUGAUUGAACAAAGGGAAUUGGAUUUUAUUCUCUUUUGUGGAUGUCCGCGUUUCAUUUGGUCCUUCUUUGGCCAUCUUAGACCUGUGGUCUGAAAUUGUUUCUGGUCAAUUAAAG
rnacentral:lncRNA from 1 species